rnacentral:rRNA from 1 species
UGGGGAAUUUUGCACAAUGGGGGAAACCCUGAUGCAGCGACGCCGCGUGAUUUAGAAGGCCUUCGGGUUGUAAAAAUCUUUUCUAUGGGAAGAAAAUGACAGCACCAUAGGAAUAAGGACCGGCUACUUACGUGCCAGCAGCCGCGGUAAUACGUAAGGUCCGAGCGUUGUCCGGAAUCAUUGGGCGUAAAGGGUACGUAGGCGGGUAAGCAAGUUAGAAGUGAAAUCCUAUAGCUCAACUAUAGUAAGCUUUUAAAACUGCUCAUCUUGAGGUAUGGAAGGGAAAGUAGAAUUCCUAGUGUAGCGGUGAAAUGCGCAGAUAUUAGGAGGAAUACCGGUGGCGAAGGCGACUUUCUGGCCAUAACCUGACGCUGAGGUACGAAAGCGUGGGUAGCAAACAGG